rnacentral:tRNA from 1 species
CCUUGAUGAAUCAGAGGGUAAAGAAUCUGUCUGCAAUGCAGAAGACCCAGGUUUGAUCUCUGGAUCAAGAG